rnacentral:rRNA from 1 species
AGGACGAACGCUGGCGGCGUGCUUAACACAUGCAAGUCGAGCGGAAAGGCCCUUCGGGGUACUCGAGCGGCGAACGGGUGAGUAACACGUGAGUAAUCUGCCCCUAGCUCUGGGAUAGCUCCGGGAAACCGGGAUUAAUACCGGAUACGACCACCUUAGACAUCUUUUGUGGUGGAAAGAAUUUCGGCUAGGGAUGAGCUCGCGGCCUAUCAGCUUGUUGGUGGGGUAACGGCCUACCAAGGCGACGACGGGUAGCCGGCCUGAGAGGGCGACCGGCCACACUGGGACUGAGACACGGCCCAGACUCCUACGGGAGGCAGCAGUGGGGAUAUUGCGCAAUGGGCGAAAGCCUGACGCAGCGACGCCGCGUGGGGGAUGAAGGCCUUCGGGUUGUAACCCCUUUCAGCAGGGACGAAGCGAAAGUGACGGUACCUGCAGAAGAAGCGCCGGCUAACUACGUGCCAGCAGCCGC